CAUUCUUUCACGACGAGCAAUGUGUAUAGGCUGGUUUAGUGGAUUACUGUAGCUGUAAGUUUGAUUUUCACAUCUUCACCAUAUAUGGUCUGCAAGUAUCUAGCUAAGUAAUGGACGAGCCACCGCCAGUCAAGAAUGUAGUGUAAGUAGCCCAAAGGUUCAUGGUAACAAUCUCAAUACAACAGCUUGGCAUUUUCCCCCUUCAGUUUAGGUGUUUUGAAUCAUCUAGAUAUAGCUAAAGUUUGUUCAAUAUUGGUUUGUGAUAUGUAUGAUCAUGGCAGGGAAGUGAUAAACAUGAACGAACAGGCAGGGAGGGAGAGAACGUGGUCACAAACCAACAGUUUAAUCAUUGAUUAGUGCCACACCAAGAUAGACUGUUGAUCUGUCAUCAGGUAAAUGUCAUUGAAUAGGAUCUCUGAUAAAAGGACAGCAUCCGAAUUUAAGGGUGUAAUAUUUGCUAUCUUGAAAUGUAUACAUUAGCUGUGUUUUUAUGGAAAUAUAUUGAACUGAUGCAUUCUUAAUGAUUAAUGUAUUGAGUCCCCGUGUUUAGAUAAGACAAAUAAUGUCGGUUGUGCUCUGGUAAAGGAAGUAUGAGGUGCUGAGGUAAACGUAAACCUAUUGCAGGAUGGGGGCAGAUGGAGAAAAAUGGGUCUUAGGAUAGAGGAAUAUUUGGUUAAUUUACAGUAUUUCUGAGGUCUAGAUUUGAGAUAAAAUCAGAGCUAAUGGGUGGAGGCGAGUUUCCGAGAAGGGUCCAGCUGCUGCCGCACACGCCCGUGACGGAGGUUGACUCUUCCAAAUAUGGAUCGUUAUAGAAGAGACUUCGCACAAAACGUGAGGACGUUUAUCUCGGCUGCUCGGUGGGUGUUGAUGCUGAAAAAGAAAAGAUGGCGCAAGGAGCUCGGGUGAGAAUGCCACAAUAUGGUUAAUGAACACUUAUUGUUUUAUGUAUAUUUAUUAUUAGGUUGUUGUAUGUAUUAACGAUUUGGCUGUUUCGCGCACUGUAAAUAGUGUUAAUUUUGUAGAUUAUUUUUCAUUUUAAUCAAUUAGGCUUGCUACCGGUAAUCCCGUGCUUUAGGUCACAAUCUAGCCUUAGCGUUAUCAUAAGAAGUAAGGCUAACGUCAAGAUACGUCAAGUAUAAACUGUUUUUUUUAUAACGCCAGACUAUAUAGUUCUAUUGGAAACCAUGUGGCUUUAUUCACCAACAUACAUUAACACGGAUAAAACACCUAAAUUAAUCGUGACAGAAAACCCUCCAUAGUAUGUGACCUCUGAUUCGGCCUGCUGCCGCCCCUGUCCCUAUUUCUUUCUGAUAUUCAGUUCCACCAUUUCAUUAUUAGUUGAGUGUUAUUUUUGGUAUUGCAGUAGCUUUUAUAUUAGGGACCAGGAGAAUAGGUAAACUGUUGCAGAGUCCUGUAAGGACUUUGUGGCGCACCACUAGCUCAAUGUAUGGACACGAAUUGGGAAUAACCAUGUGAUGUGAAACCUCCUGCAACCUCUCCCUUUGAACUGAUACCCUUAUUUAGGGCCUGACUAACUCUGUGUGUAUGCGUGUGUAUGCGUGUGUAUGCGUGUGUCUGUGUGUGUCUGUGUAUGUCUGUGUGUGGCUGUGUCUGCAGUACUGUCAUCUACAUAUUCAAAUCCAGAUUAUAAAGCAGAGGAACCAAAGGUUGUUCUUAAUACUCUGUAUAGUUCUAAGAAUUGAUACGGUUUGCUUAGUUUAGUUUGAUAUUUAACUUAGCUAAAUGAUUUAUACCUGUGUGACAUAUUGCAACCCAUCCCUGUACCCAUCCCGUGUAUCAAGAUGUCUUUGAUUGUCUCUGUCUCUUCUAUACCUGCAUGUACUCAUCAUCCUUAUAUGAGGUAAGAAUAAGGCUAAAUAAUGUAUCACACCUUUAUUACUUCAGACAGAAAUAUGCAGUUUUUCCUGUGCUACAUGAGCAUGUGAGGUACCCCAUCGUACAAUUUGGAAGAAUAAAGUGCAUUUGCCCAAUAAACAUAAAAAUAUGGACUGAGGGGAUUAUGGACCGAAGUGUAUUAUGGGUUAUCCCAUUUGGGGUACAAUUGGGCAGUAAAACAUGUACAUUUGCCCAGCAAACCUCCAAAUUUGGACUCUGUGGAGUUUGGAUGGAAGUGUAUUAUGGAUAAUCCCAUUGGUCGUGCAAUUGGGCAGUAAAACAUGUACAUUUGACUAGCAAACAUCAAAAUUCUGACUCUGUUGGGUUUGGACCGAAGGUGCCAUUGGGUGUAUACAUUUGUGGUAAAACUGAACAUUUGCUGUGUAAAGCACAGUCACCUGCCCAGGACUUGCUGCCUGACUGGAAAACCGCUGACUGCAGAGCGGUGGAGCUCGGGGAGCCCCUAGAGCAUUUUCUGUGAAUUGCAGUUUGGCAGGAGGUCUGUACGGGAAGCCAGUAAUACUGGGCAUUUGGUGACAAAUUGGGAAGUAAAACCCUUUGAGUGAGUAUUGCGUCAAUGUACAAUGUUGGCCCAUUCAUUUUAUCCAAAAACUAGUAUUUUCCCUUCUCUUUCCAUACCUCUGUGAGUCAGCAUUCUCAACUUUGACUGCAAUGUAGACUAAGCACAGAGCUCGUUUGCAUGUGGAGAACAAUCUGAGUCUGCCAGUCAUCCAUCCCUCCAAGAGUGGAUGAACUGUGUGGUGAGAGAAUGGCAGAGCCAUCUCAUUAAGAAUGAAAUCAUUAAGUGAGUUACUGUGAACUGUGUGAGAUAAGAAUGUGACGUAUAGCCCUAAUGUACAAACUCUUCUAAAGUAAUAGGUUUAAUUACUAUGAUGUGUUCUGUAACACUGUUGAUAACUUAUUUUAUGAUUUGUUCAGAGCUUUUAGAAUUCAAAUAUUUCCAAUGGCAUCUAAGACUAAACAUUUUAGUAAGCACAUGCUUAAUCGGUAUUAAAAUCAUUAGGGGGUCCUUGAAAAAUGUUGUCCCCUGUAAGGGGUCCCUGGUCCAAAAAAGUUUGAGAACCCCUGAUGUAAUAAGUGCAACAAGUCUUUUAGAUUCCUUAUUUAAGCAGGAGUCUCCUACAACACAAUCGACCACUCAUCCUUGAGAUCCUUUCCACACAACAUUCCGUGUUUCGACAGUUACCCAAUUUGCUAACAUGGGUUGGAUCAAACAGCCGUAGUUGUGAAAUGUUGUGGCUCCGCCCCCUCUAGACUCUCAGAUCUAGAAUCUUGUCCUUCUGUCAGUGACCGAGCUGGGUAAGUGAUCUAAUCCCAAGUCUGGCGUGUAAAAACCGUUACAUUACUGCCUGCGAGGCAUCGAGAGGUGCGUAGCUGGCUCAACCCUUACACCGUAUACUACAGUGCGUUUAGUGUUGUGUAAAGACUGGUUGAAUUAUAACGCAAUAGCCUACUUUAUAGUUCCACUGGAAACCGAGUGGCUUUAUUAAUCGAUAUAAAGCAAGAUGGGGGAUAAAACACCGACAUUCAUCGUGACAGAAAACCCUCCGUGGUAUGUGACCUCUGAUUCCAAAUGUUUAUAGCUGUGAAAGCGAACAAGGACUGUUUGAUAACGUCGUCAACUUGUUGUGCAAACAAGAGGGACUAUCUGAAAGAGAGAAAAGCGGAAAAACAUCUAAAAGACUAUCAGGAGCCUUCGCGUUCGUUGUUGCUUGCGCUGAUGGACUAAUUGGACAUUGAAGGUGGAGACGACUUUGAGUCUAUGGCGAGUGUGGACAAGGCUGGUCUCAAACAUAUUCCAGUGGUUACGCAGGACUCUGAAAAACAACCUCGUCUAUUACGACAGCAGCAGGUCCACGAUCGGAACAUAUAGCAAGCCGUUUUAACAUGUAUUCGCUAGACUGGAUAUUUCUUACACAUGAAUGCAACAUAAUUUCGCCAAGUCAGAACUGCAAGAUAUCUAUAACGUCAUUAUGACUAGUCAAAACGACAAUUGAAGAUAUCUGUAAUUCUGUUUUGACUAGUCAGUUUUAAAUUACUAUUGCCAUUCAUGUCUAUGAGGUUUCUCAUUACAGAUAUCUUUAAAUGAAGUUGCAGAUAUCCGAAAUGUCUAUUGUUGAUAUAUUCAAACCAAUUAUGACUAUAGUAAUUACAGUUCCAGAUAUCUAUAAUUUAAUUCUGACCAGUCACGAUUCCAGUUCAAGAUAUCUUAAAUCCCCCUAAAUUUAAGAUAUAUAGAUCAUUAUUUUGCAAUAUCUUAAAUAAUGUUGUAAUUAGUCAUAAAUCAGUUGUAAAUAUCUUGAACUGGAAUUCUAACUAGUAUUAAUUAAAUUGAAGAUAUCUGAAACUGGAAUUACAGCCAGUCAUAAUGUAAUUGUAGAAAUCUAUUAUCAAGUUAUAGAUAUCUUUGAAUAUUUUUCAAAUUGGAGAUAUAUUUUACUUUCAUUCUGCCAAGUCAAAAUGUAAUUACAGAUAUCUGUAGUUACAUGUAGGAGUCAGGAGCGGGAGUAAGUGGCUUGCUUGUAUUCAAACAUAUGUAACUACUCUUCCACCGUAUGGCAAGCAUUAACCGCCAUGUCAGACCUGCGUGAAGCCGAAGUUCUAGUUUUUGAUAAAAUAUUUAUGGUUGCAGCCAGUGCACGACAGGCGCUUUUAGCAGGAAAUACAGGAGAUUUACUUUCUUUCAAAAGUCGAUAAAAAAAAAAUUUUUUUUACUAUCCACAACUGAAACUGCCAUUGCUGCUAACACCGAAAAGCGUUGCUGGGCCAAUAUGAUCUGAUGCCUCGCAUGAGAAACGUCAUGCAAAACAAUUCGAAAUAGUCAUAAGGACAUUUGAGAUAUCUACAACUAUAAUUUUGACUAGUCCAAACAAAAUUCUGCAAUUACCAUUUGGGAUGUAUGAAAGUCGAGUGUCGUUUUCAGUGAGGUCACUUCUGAUAUUUGUAAUUCAGUUUUGACUAGUCAAAAUAAAAUUACAGACAUCUUUAACUGUGUUUUGACUAGUCAGAAGAACGUUACGUAUAUCUUGAAUCAAAAUUUAGACUAGUCACAAUGUAAUUACGUCUAGUCAGUAUUACGGUGUUAAUAUCUGUCAUGUUAAUUUCAUAUAGUCAAGUCUAGCGAAUACAUUUUAAAAUGGCUUGCUAUUGGAACAAACACUUGUUAUCCCGACAACCGGAAAGAUUGAGCUGUGGGUGGAUAAAUGAGCCGUGUUUGGAUUGAUGAGCCGUGUGUGGAUAGAUGAGCCGUGUGUGGGUAGAUGAGCCAUGUGUGGGUAGAUGAGCCGUGUGUGGGUAGAUGAGCCGUGUGUGGGUAGAUGAGCCGUGUGUGGGUAUAUGAGCCGUGGUUGGACAUCCAACCAGUGUUGAGUUUACUGUUCAACGUUCUCUUAUCCAACCAAUGGUAAAUUAUCUAAUUCCAAGUCUGUCUUAUAAAAGCCCUUACACCAGCCACAUCGACGUUACAUCAUGCGAGGCUUCGAGAGGUGAGCGACUGCCUCAACCCAUAAACCGUAGACCACAGUGCAAGAGGGACUAUUUGAAACAUCUACAAGACAAUCAGUAGUAUGGGAAUCCGGGACGCUGACAUUAUAGAGCAAAACCCUUCAUGUUCGUUGUUGUUAGCGCUGAACCUAGAGCACAUUAAAGGUAGAAACAAACACGUUCUAGCCUAUCCAGUUGCUGAGCACCGAGGACAAAACCUCGUCUACUGAGAACAACAGUCACGCGCUGGUCUCCGAUGUAAAGGAUACACCCCAUGUGCUAGGCACGGCUUCGGCCGACAUUUUGAAUAAAAAACGUAAGGCCAGCGUGGAUUGUUUCACCGGAAACCAAAAUUACAUAUAGAGAAAACCCCUCGAAAAGAAGUCAAAGGACAAAAAAAGAUUAGAUUGAAACAGAUGAUGAAACUGUUAACUCUGUGAUGUAGGGAUAUUUUCAUGAAAUGUUAUUUCACAUUAACCUGAUGAGUAGACGAAACAUCUCAUGUGAUCACUUGUAUAUUCAUUGAGAGUUAAUUGAUGAAACAUUAAACCAGGGCUCAUAUUAUUAUCCCAAACAGUCUGUUUGUCUUUGAUUUUUCCACAUUUAAUUGUUAAGAGACCGAUGAACUACACUCUUGCUCUGGCUCCACUACCCAUGGUCAGUUCAAUGAGUGUUUGUUAUCUCAUAUUAAGGACAGAAGGACCUGUGGCUUGUCCUUGACUCUCUUGGGAAAAUGAGUGAGCUCAUAGAUCAAAGAAUCCUUGACUUAGGGAAUAUGCUGAGUAAUGAUGAGUAGUGGCUUGGUGAGCGAAUCCCAGAUUGUUGUGAAACAUUGAUGGAAGAAACAGAAAUGAGCUUAAUGAGGGGUCUGCAGAGCAAGGCAAAGUUAAUGUUUGAUUAAGUAACAACUGAAACAAGAUUGGGGUUCAAUGGAGUUAGCUAAUUCAAUACUCUCUGCUGUCGUUUGGAUUCUAACUUUGUGUUGUGCGAGAUUCCAUCUUUGUUUCUCACAAUUUAGGAGUCCUGAAUCACUGAUACACAUAAAACAGAGAGUCCAAGGAGAGGUGGGUGACAGACCCUCCCACAUACAUCAGAGAGUCCAAGGAGAGGUAAGUGACAGACUGUGAAAUACUUCAGAGAGUCUUAGGGGAGGUGGGUGACAGACUCACAUACAAAAGAGAGUACAAGGAGUGGUGGGUGACAGACUUUGCCACAUAUAAAAGAGAGUGGCUUUAUUCAUCAAUAUAUAACUACAUGGAGGAUGCAGCACUGAAAUUAAUUGUAACAUAAAACCCUCCGCCCCAGUCCCUGCCAUCGCCCUUCUUAUUGCUCCACAGCCAGCCCCUGCUCCGCGUACCGCCGCCGCGCAAGACCCUGCUCCGCGUACCGCCGCCGCGCAAGACCCUGCUCCGCGUACCGCCGCCGCGCAAGACCCUGCUCCGCGUACCGCCCCGCAAGACCCUGCUCCGCCCCUGCUCCGUGUACCGCCGCCCCGCAAGACCCUGCUCCGCCCCUGCUCCGCGUACCGCCGCCGCGCAAGACCCUGCUCCGCGUACCGCCGCCGCGCAAGACCCUGCUCCGCGUACCGCCGCCCCUAAAGACCCUGCUCCGCGUACCGCCGCCCCGCAAGACCCUGCUCCGCGUACCGCCGCCGCGCAAGACCCUGCUCCGCCCUUGCUCCGCGUACCGCCGGCGCGCAAGACCCUGCUCCGCGUAGCGCCGCCGCGCAAGACCCUGCUCCGCGUAGCGCCGCCGCGCAAAACCCUGCUCCGCGUACCGCCGCCGCGCAAGACCCUGCUCCGCGUACCGCCGCCCCGCAAGACCCUGCUCCGCGUACCGCCGCCCCGCAAGACCCUGCUCCGCCCCUGCUCCGCGUAGCGCCGCCGCGCAAGACCCUGCUCCGCGUAGCGCCGCCGCGCAAGACCCUGCUCCGUGUACCGCCUCCCAGCAAGACCCUGCUCCGCGUAGCGCCGCCCAGCAAGACCCUGCUCCGCGUACCGCCGCCCAGCAAGACCAAGAUCCACGGCCUAGAGUACAAUGAGUUUAUUGUUUACAGCCUGGAAGAUUUAUAACGCAAGACUUUACAGUUCCACUGGUAACCAAGUGGCUUCAUUCAUCAAUAUCCAACAACAUGGAGGAUACAACACUGAAAUCUUUGUGGCAGAUCAAACAAUCCUUGACUUAGAGAAAAUGCUGAGUAAUGAUGAGUAGUGGCUUGGGGAGCGAAUCCCAGAUUGUUGUGAAACAUUGAUGGAAGAGACAGAAAUGAGCUUUAUGAGGGGUCUGCAGAGCAAGGCAAAGUUAAAACUAGUAAAAAAGGGAGAGAGGAAGACGUAUAUGUUUGAUUAAGUAACAACUGAAACAAGAUUGGGGUUCAAUGGAGUUAGCUAAUACAAUACUCUCUGCUGUAGUUUAGAUUCUAACUUUGUGUUGUGCGAGAUUCCAUCUUUGUUUCUUACAAUUUAGGAGUCCUGAAUCACUGAUACACCUUGUCCAAUGAAGGGGUACCUCACACCUGUGGUCCAGAUCAUUCCAGGGCCAAACCCAGCCCAGACCUAUGAGAGAGUCCCUUGGGUUCAGAGUAAGAUUAUUGGACACUGAUGGUUCCAGAUUCACCACAGCAAAGGAGAGGUGGGUGACAGACUCACAUACAACAGAGAGACCAAGGAGAGACAACAGAGAGUCCAAGGAGAGGUGGGUGACAGACUGUGACAUGUACAACAGAGUCCAAGGAGAGGUGGGUGAAUGACUGACAUACAACAGAGUCCAAGGAGAGGUGGGUGAAAGACUGACAUACAACAGAGAGUCCAAGGAGAGGUGAGUGACAGACUGUGACAUACAUCAGAGAGUGCAAGGAGACUUGGGUAACAGACUCUGCCACAUAAAACAGAGUCCAAGGAGUGGUGGGUGACAGACCCUCCUACAUACAACAGAGAGUCCAAGGAGGGAUGGGUGACAGACCCUCCCACAUACAACAGAGUCCAAGGAGGGAUGGGUGACAGACCCUCCCACAUACAACAGAGUCCAAGGAGGGAUGGGUGACAGACCCUCCCACAUACAACAGAGAGUCCAAGGAGGGAUGGGUGACAGACCCUCCCACAUACAACAGAGUGUUUUAGGGGAGGUGGGUGACAGACCCUGCCACAUAUAAAAGAGAGUGGCUUUAUUCAUCAAUAUACAACAACAUGGAGGAUACAACAUGGAAAUUCAUUGUGACAUUAAACCCUCUGCCCUAGUCCCUGCCACCGCCCUUCUUGUUGCUCCACAGCCAGCCCCUGCUCCGCGUACUGCCGCGGCGCGAGACCCUGCUCCGCGUAACGCCGCCGCGCGGUAUCCAAGUGGCUUUAUUCAUCAAUAUACAACAACUUGGAGGAUACAACACUGAAAUCUUUCUGACAGAUCAAAGAAUCCUUGACUUAGAGAAUAUGCUGAGUAAUGAUGAGUAGUGGCUUGGGGAGCGAAUCCCAGGUUGUUGUGAAACAUUGAUGGAAGAGACAGAAAUGAGCUUAAUGAGAGGUCUGCAGAGCAAGGCAAAGUUAAAAAAAGUAAACAAGGGAGAGAGGAAGACAUAUAUGUUUGAUUAAGAAACAACUGAAACAAGAUUGGGGUUCAAUGGAGUUAGCUAAUACAAUACUCUCUGCUGUAGUUUGGAUUCUAACUUUGUGUUGUGCGAGAUUCCAUCUUUCUCACAUUUUAGGAGUCCUGAAUCACUAGGAGGGAUGGGUGACAGACCCUCCCAUAUACUUCAGAGAGUCCAAGGAGAGCGUCACAGUGCAUUUCCCUGUUGAUGCCGAGCGUCAAUUGACUUCAAUGGGGCUUCUUAAAACUCGCCCACGGACUCUCAUCGUCUCUGGGGGUGAAUUAUGAGUGGGCUGGCCCUGAUUCCAGGCUUCCGCAUGAUUGGAGGAUCUGACGAUCUGUCAAACUGCAUUCCUUUUGACUGACAGCGGUCUACUAUAAGGUGUCACUGAAGCUGUUUAGCGCUCAGUCCCACCGCGGAUUUCUCAAGCGUAUUCGAAAGACGUCUGCAAUAUUUAUUCAUAUUUGUUUGGCGAAAUUGCUAGCUGAUUUGCAUCAUACAUUUCACACAAUUAUCUGCUGCACCACGUGAUCCUUGUUUCAGUUUUACAAAGUUUUUUUUUUUUAUCAGUCAUUCAUAUUCAAUAGUAGGCUAGGCUAGCGUUGUACGCGGGUGAAACUGCGCACGAUGGCAGACAGUGCUAAUAUUGUCCUGAUUUUAGCGAGGCCAUUUGGAAGUCUUCCUUACGAGGAACAUUUUUUAAUUAAACAGCAGGUAAGAUCAACUCCUAAGAUUGAUCUUUUCAGCUCUCCUGGUAUGACAAAGUUAUUUGGCUGACUGGAAGUGCUGUGACAAAUAAAAUGUACUGCUGGCCAAAAAUAAAUUGGUAACCCUACGACACAUUGAAAAUGUGUACACACACACACGUAGUGUUAUCACGUUUUGGGGGGACUUUCCAUAGACACAAUGAUUUUUGUACUGUACAAACUGUAUAUUCCUAUCUCUUACACUGACCCUACCCAUCACAGAAAACCUGCAUUUUUACAUUUUCUAAUAACAUCACUUAGUAUGAUUUUUAAGCUGUUUUCCUCAUGGGGACUCAAACAUUUCCCCACACGAAGAAGGAUUUCAGAUAUUGCCAUCCUUGUGGGAACAUAUUGUCCCCAUAUUGUAGGGUUUACCAGGCCACACACAUACACACACUGGCUCUAUAGCCAUCUAGUGGUUAAACAGAAUUUUAAACAGAAUUUCCCCC
ensembl:lncRNA